rnacentral:pre_miRNA from 1 species
CAGGUACUCCCUCCGUUCGGAAUUACUUGUCUCGGAAAUGGAUGUAUCUAGAACUAAAAUACGUCUAGAUACAUCGAUUUCUGCGACAAGUAAUUCCGAACGGAGGGAGUAGUUC